ACAUCCAGAGAACUUAGCAGAGAUUGCUUUGGUGCCUUCGGGAACUCUGAGACAGGUGCUGCAUGGCUGUCGUCAGCUCGUGUUGUGAAAUGUUGGGUUAAGUCCCGCAACGAGCGCAACCCUUAUCCUUUGUUGCCAGCGGUUCGGCCGGGAACUCAAAGGAGACUGCCGGUGAUAAACCGGAGGAAGGUGGGGAUGACGUCAAGUCAUCAUGGCCCUUACGGCCAGGGCUACACACGUGCUACAAUGGCGCAUACAAAGAGAAGCGACCUCGCGAGAGCAAGCGGACCUCAUAAAGUGCGUCGUAGUCCGGAUUGGAGUCUGCAACUCGACUCCAUGAAGUCGGAAUCGCUAGUAAUCGUAGAUCAGAAUGCUACGGUGAAUACGUUCCCGGGCCUUGUACACACCGCCCGUCACACCAUGGGAGUGGGUUGCAAAAGAAGUAGGUAGCUUAACCUUCGGGAGGGCGCUUACCACUUUGUGAUUCAUGACUGGGGUGAAGUCGUAACAAGGUAGGCGUAGCGAG
rnacentral:rRNA from 1 species